rnacentral:tRNA from 1 species
GCAUCGUUGGCCGAGUGGUCUAAGGCGCCACACUUAAGAUGUGGUAUCUUCGGAUGCGUGGGUUCGAACCCCACACGAUGCA